AGAUUGAACGCUGGCGGCAUGCCUUACACAUGCAAGUCGAACGGCAGCACGGGAGCAAUCCUGGUGGCGAGUGGCGAACGGGUGAGUAAUAUAUCGGAACGUGCCCAGUCGUGGGGGAUAACGCAGCGAAAGCUGUGCUAAUACCGCAUACGAUCUAUGGAUGAAAGCGGGGGAUCGCAAGACCUCGCGCGAUUGGAGCGGCCGAUAUCAGAUUAGCUAGUUGGUGGGGUAAAAGCCUACCAAGGCGACGAUCUGUAGCUGGUCUGAGAGGACGACCAGCCACACUGGAACUGAGACACGGUCCAGACUCCUACGGGAGGCAGCAGUGGGAAUUUUGGACAAGUGGGCGCAAGCCUGAUCCAGACAAUGCCGCGUGCAGGAUGGAAGGUCCGUUACGGGUUUAGUAAACGUUGUACGUUUUAGGAACCGGUAACGGUAAACGUUCGUACUUAC
rnacentral:rRNA from 1 species